UACGUAAGGGGCAAGCGUUGUCCGGAAUCACUGGGCGUAAAGCGCACGUAGGCGGUUUGUCAAGUUGGGGGUGUAAGCUCUAGGCCUAACCUAGAAAUUGCCUCCAAAACUAGCAUACUUGAGUAUUAGAGGGGAAGCUGGAAUUCACGGUGUAGCGGUGAAAUGCGUAGAUAUCGUGGAGAACACCGGUGGCGAAGGCGGCAUCCUGGACCGGCAUUGACGCUGAGGCGCGAAAGCCAGGGGAGCAAACGGG
rnacentral:rRNA from 1 species